AACGAACGCUGGCGGCAGGCCUAACACAUGCAAGUCGAGCGAAGCCUUCGGGCUUAGCGGCGGACGGGUGAGUAACGCGUGGGAACGUGCCCUUUGGUACGGAAUAGCCCCGGGAAACUGGGAGUAAUACAGUAUGUGCCCUUCGGGGGAAAGAUUUAUCGCCAAAGGAUCGGCCCGCGUUGGAUUAGGUAGUUGGUGGGGUAAUGGCCUACCAAGCCGACGAUCCAUAGCUGGUUUGAGAGGGUGAUCAGCCACACUGGGACUGAGACACGGCCCAGACUCCUACGGGAGGCAGCAGUGGGGAAUCUUAGACAAUGGGGGAAACCCUGAUCUAGCCAUGCCGCGUGAUCGAUGAAGGCCUUAGGGUUGUAAAGAUCUUUCAGUGGGAAGAUAAUGACUGUACCCACAGAAGAAGCCCCGGCUAACUCCGUGCCAGCCGCCGCCGUAACAC
rnacentral:rRNA from 1 species